CUCCAUGGCAACCGCCGACACAACGUUCCAUUGGGAGAAUGUAGCAAUUUUCACUUUGGACCAAUCAAAGCCCCGCGGGAUGAUUCGGCAGCCAAUGAGGAGCGAGCGGGUUGGGUAGUAGGUGGAAGGUGCAAAGAUCUACGCGUGAGCCUGGCGGUACCUGAUCGAGCCUGGUCCGGAGCCCAGAAGGCUGGUUCGGUCCGAUCAAGCCCGUGAGAGAUCAGCUGGGCUGAAUGUCCAGCACCCAAAACUGGGUUAUGUGGGAGAGAGAUGCCUGCCUGGUCCAGGCUGAGGUGCUGCAACAAAUCGACCGGGCCCAGAAGUUACAGAACCUUUGAAGCGCUCCCCCAAGGACGGGCUACCGGUUCCGGGCCGAACCGGGUCAUGUAAAUCCUCUGGAGAGAAGAUGAGGUGCAAUUCGAACAUUGAUGGCAGUAAAUAACUUUAUCAAGAAAAAGGAAAGAGCGGCACCCAGCAAUCCCAGGUCAGCUGCAUCAAGGAAAGGAGAAAUCAGAAUCAGGCCAGAGAGGGAAGAACAGCGUGGCUGGUUUCUGGAACUCAGAUGAACCAAGUUCAGUUAUCAACCCUGUCACCUCAUCAAGGAGAUAUGUAAUUAGGGCCCAUCGCAGAUCCAAGCCAGCUUGUCAGAGGAAGGCACAAAUACAGCUCAAGAGGACGGGAUCACAUUGGCAGAUGAGAACAGAAUGGAAGAAGAAAGUGAAAGCUGACUUUGGAUUGAUUGUGUUGAGUAACUGAAAAUAAGGCCAGAGCAACUGGGUGUGACUUGCUGGUGAGUGAGGAUAUUUAGGAGGUGGCUGAGCCAAGAUCAGAGGGUUUUUUUCCUCCCAAAGUGUGGUUGGUGUGUCCACGUGUAACCAAGUCUGGUUUGUGUGAGGCGCAAGGAAGUGGAAGGAGAGAUCAAAUCCAGCAAUGCCCCAGAUGACCCAGCCCAGCGUGCUAACACCUCCUCCCACCACCACCAUUUCCAUGGACAGCAAUGCAGUGGCCAUCAUCAUAGCAGCAACAGUUUCGUCAUCUGUGUUCGUGGUGGCGUUACUGGUGCUGCUGUCACUCUUGUACCACCGGGAUCCCCUUUGCUGCCAGUUCCUCUGCUCCUGCCGGUUCUUCCAGCGCCCCAGCCAGUAUGAUUGCCCUCCUCCGUACUUCAGCAGCAGCCGUCGGCGGCCGGUGGGAUCACAGCCUGGGGCACAGCAAUUGGAGACUGCUGCGGAGAAUGCUGGCGUACAGGGAGAAGAACUGUUCUGUGUUGGACCUCCCAGCAGCUAUCAGCUCCCCCCUUGGGAGCAGCUGCGCUUGCCAAGCUAUGAGAGCGUGCGGAAGAAGGAUCGCCAGCGGGAGAUCCAUCAGAUGAUUGCCGAGAGGUUUGGGCUGUGGGCAGAGCCCUCCCAGGAGCUGCCGCCUCCCUAUGAGCAAGCGCUACGGCAUCCUCCAGCCCUCCCAGGAUCUGGUGCAGCAUCAGAGUUGCCAGAUGGGCAAAGCUUGCUGGACACCUUCCAACCUCACAGGAACACAGCAGUGUAG
rnacentral:lncRNA from 1 species